rnacentral:tRNA from 1 species
UCCCUGCUAGUCCAAUAGGUAGGACUCAGUGCUUUUAGUGCUGAGGGCCCAGGUUCAAUCCCUGGUCAGGGAA